rnacentral:rRNA from 1 species
AACGAACGCUGGCGGCAUGCCUAACACAUGCAAGUCGAACGAUAUCUUCGGGUCUAGUGGCGCACGGGUGCGUAACGCGUGGGAAUCUGCCCUUUGGUUCGGAAUAACAGUUGGAAACGACUGCUAAUACCGGAUGAUGACGAAAGUCCAAAGAUUUAUCGCCAGGGGAUGAGCCCGCGUAGGAUUAGCUAGUUGGUGUGGUAAAGGCGCACCAAGGCGACGAUCCUUAGCUGGUCUGAGAGGAUGAUCAGCCACACUGGGACUGAGACACGGCCCAGACUCCUACGGGAGGCAGCAGUGGGGAAUAUUGGACAAUGGGCGAAAGCCUGAUCCAGCAAUGCCGCGUGAGUGAUGAAGGCCUUAGGGUUGUAAAGCUCUUUUACCCGGGAUGAUAAUGACAGUACCGGGAGAAUAAGCUCCGGCUAACUCCGUGCCAGCAGCCGCCGUAA